GGGUUGUGAGGUUAAGCGACUAAGCGUACACGGUGGAUGCCCUGGCAGUCAGAGGCGAUGAAGGACGUGCUAAUCUGCGAUAAGCGUCGGUGAGGUGAUAUGAACCGUUAUAACCGGCGAUUUCCGAAUGGGGAAACCCAGUGUGUUUCGACACACUAUCAUUAACUGAAUCCAUAGGUUAAUGAGGCGAACCGGGGGAACUGAAACAUCUAAGUACCCCGAGGAAAAGAAAUCAACCGAGAUUCCCCCAGUAGCGGCGAGCGAACGGGGAGCAGCCCAGAGCCUGAAUCAGUGUGUGUGUUAGUGGAAGCGUCUGGAAAGGCGCGCGAUACAGGGUGACAGCCCCGUACACAAAAAUGCACAUGCUGUGAGCUCGAUGAGUAGGGCGGGACACGUGGUAUCCUGUCUGAAUAUGGGGGGACCAUCCUCCAAGGCUAAAUACUCCUGACUGACCGAUAGUGAACCAGUACCGUGAGGGAAAGGCGAAAAGAACCCCGGCGAGGGGAGUGAAAAAGAACCUGAAACCGUGUACGUACAAGC
rnacentral:rRNA from 1 species